rnacentral:rRNA from 1 species
UACGAAGGGGGCUAGCGUUGUUCGGAAUUACUGGGCGUAAAGGGCGCGUAGGCGGUGUGUCAAGUCAGGCGUGAAAGCCCCGGGCUUAACCUGGGAAUGGCGUUUGGGACUGGAAGUCUGGAGUACGGCAGAGGAGACUGGAAUUCCUGGUGUAGCAGUGAAAUGCGUAGAUAUCAGGAGGAACACCGAUGGCGAAGGCAGGUCUCUGGGCUGAUACUGACGCUCAUGCACGAAAGCGUGGGGAGCAAACAGG